rnacentral:rRNA from 1 species
AGCAGCCGCGGUAAUUCCAGCUCCAAUAGCGUAUAUUAAAGUUGUUGCAGUUAAAAAGCUCGUAGUUGAAUUUCGGGGUCAGUAGUUUGGUCAUGCCACAGGUAUGUACUGGUCUUACUGAUUCCUCCUUCCUGAUGAACCGUAAUGCCAUUAAUUUGGUGUUGCGGGGAAACUGGACUGUUACUUUGAAAAAAUUAGAGUGUUUAAAGCAGGCUAACGCUUGAAUACAUUAGCAUGGAAUAAUGAAAUAGGACGUUCGAUCCUAUUUUUGUUGGUUUCUAGGAUUGACGUAAUGAUUAAUAGGGAUAGUUGGGGGCAUUAGUAUUCAAUUGUCAGAGGUGAAAUUCUUGGAUUUAUUGAAGACUAACUACUGCGAAAGCAUUUGCCAAGGAUGUUUUCAUUAAUCAAGAACGAAAGUUAGGGGAUCGGAGACGAUCAGAUACCGUCGUAGUCUUAACCAUAAACUAUGCCGACUAGGGAUCGGGAUGAUGUUAAUUUUUUAAUGAACUCAUUCGGCGUC